UGUGAAAAAUGAAACAUUCUUGUUUCUUAAAUAAAACAAAAAAAAAAAGCCCAUCAGCCCGAACGUAUUAAUUCCACGGCACCUUCCUACUAUAAAGAGUUAAAUACAUACACACCAACCAGCGCCCCAACCAACCCUCUGGCUGGCGCUGGCGGAGCUGGAGAUUGAGAUGAGGGAGGGGAAGACGACGACUAGAAUCUAGAUGCAAUAGACCACGCCGGUGGUCAACCGCCCCCAUCCGCUGGCUGGACAGACCUUCUAUCAAGUCCAAGCAGGCAGCUUGGGGUAGCUCUGUUAGGCAGAUCUGUGCCUUCGGAAGACUUCUGGAGCACGAGGCCAAUAAUAGGAACAAGAAGACCCAAUUAAGAUGUCGAAUUCUUUUUGAGCCCACAUAUUGUCUUCAAAAUCAACUGUUUUUGUCAUCUGCAGAGAGGUGCACAACAUCAGAUACCAAAUUCAACCCAAUGUAAAAAUUUAUAUUUGAUAUGCUAAAAAUGUGAACAAGUAUUAGAUAGAAGAAGGUAACCUUUUGCAGUGAAGCUCGAAAGGCUUCUUUUUCUAUUUCUCGUCGAUGCUUCAAUUUAGCUUCGACCUCAUCAA